rnacentral:rRNA from 1 species
CUGCAUAUAUCUGUCAAGACGGUGACUGGCAAGAUCAUUGAUAUUGGUGUUUGGAGUUCAGAUACCAUCAAGCAUGUCAAGGUGGUGAUUCACAGUCGGGGUGGAAUGCCUUGGUACGAGCAGCGCCUCAUCUUUGCCGGCAAGGAGCUGGAGGAUGGCCACACCCUGGCAGACUACAACAUUGAGGAUUCGUGCACUCUUGAGCUUGUCCGGUGGCUGCUUAUCUAUGUCAAGAUGCUGACCGGCAGCACCAUUGAUCUUGCGGUUUUGAGUUCAGACAAGAUCGAGGAUGUCAAGGCGAUGAUUUAUGACCAGGAGGGCGUUCGCUUGUUUGAGCAGCGCCUCAUCUUUGCCGGCAAGCAGCUCGAGGAUGGCCGCACCCUGGCGGACUACGACAUUCAGAAGACGCUUCACCUCGUCCUUCGCCUCAGAGGGGGUAGAAUGAUCCUCAUCAAGACGCGGACUGGCAACACCUUUCUUCCCACAGGGGUUUGGAUUGACAACACGAUUGAGGAUUUCAAGGCCGCGAUCCACAAGGAAGAGGGCAUUCCCCCAUCGCAGCAGCACCUCUUCAUUGCCGGGAAGCCGCUGGAGAACGACCGCACCCUGGCGAGCUACAUCAGCCAUGAUUCUGACAUCCUCUACGUCAGCCCUGAUUCCCACAUGGUCAUUCACCUUUUGUGUCGGCGCGCGCCGCUGCCUCGUCGGAUUGUGGACAGGGCGCGCAGGCUGCGGAACAAGCAGGAGCUUGGGCAUGGCUGUCUGUAA